rnacentral:rRNA from 1 species
AUUGAACGCUGGCGGCAGGCCUAACACAUGCAAGUCGAGCGAGCGGCGGACGGGUGAGUAAUGUCUGGGAAACUGCCUGAUGGAGGGGGAUAACUACUGGAAACGGUAGCUAAUACCGCAUACCAUCAGAUGUGCCCAGAUGGGAUUAGCUAGUAGGUGGGGUAAUGGCUCACCUAGGCGACGAUCCCUAGCUGGUCUGAGAGGAUGACCAGCAACACGGGAACGUAGACAGGGCCCAGAAGCCGAAGGGAGGCAGCAGUGGGGAAUAUUGCACAAUGGGCGCAAGCCUGAUGCAGCCAUGCCGCGUGUAUGAAGAAGGCCUUCGGGUUGUAAAGUACUUUCAGCGGGGAGGCGUUACCGAAAGAAGAAGCACCGGCGAAUUCCGUGCAAGCAGCCGCGGUAAUAC